rnacentral:rRNA from 1 species
GUGGGGAAUAUUGGACAAUGGGGGGAACCCUGAUCCAGCCAUGCCGCGUGUGUGAAGAAGGCCUUUUGGUUGUAAAGCACUUUAAGCGAGGAGGAGGCUACCGAGAUUAAUACUCUUGGAUAGUGGACGUUACUCGCAGAAUAAGCACCGGCUAACUCUGUGCCAGCAGCCGCGGUAAUACAGAGAGUGCAAGCGUUAAUCGGAUUUACUGGGCGUAAAGCGCGCGUAGGUGGCCAAUUAAGUCAAAUGUGAAAUCCCCGAGCUUAACUUGGGAAUUGCAUUCGAUACUGGUUGGCUAGAGUAUGGGAGAGGAUGGUAGAAUUCCAGGUGUAGCGGUGAAAUGCGUAGAGAUCUGGAGGAAUACCGAUGGCGAAGGCAGCCAUCUGGCCUAAUACUGACACUGAGGUGCGAAAGCAUGGGGAGCAAACAGGAUUAGAUACCCCUGUAGUCC